GUUGUACAAUAAUAAUAACUAGAUCAAGAUCUGUGACUUGCACGGAAUUGGACAUUAUAUAUAUAAAUUAUUUGAUGUAUUAUAUGUUUUUUACAUAUUAUGAAAUAAUUAAUAUAUAUUGAAUAAUUAAUAUAUAUGGGAUUUAAUUUAUGUCUCUCUUUUUUCAAAAAAUAUUGUAACAUUCCGAUUUGUGGUAUAUGUGAAAGGUUUUAAAUUUUCGAUUUGGCUAACUAUGUUACAAAUUGCACUUAUUUUUUCGGCACAAAUGCAGUGAAAAUUUUAAAGUUAAUAGUGGUUGAGCUGGAAAUAGUCAUAAUGGAUGACUUAUUGAGAAGUGAUUCAUGAUAUUGUGUGAGUGAGACCAAAGCACAUGAAACAUGUGGUGGUUUCAGGGUCACUAGACAAGACUUUCAAGACUUAAAAAAAUAGGGCACACAUGCAGAAAAGCGAGAAUGCU
rnacentral:lncRNA from 1 species